UACGUAGGGAGCAAGCGUUGUCCGGAAUCAUUGGGCGUAAAGCGCGCGUAGGUGGCUUCGUAAGUCCGUUGUGAAAGUCAAAGGCUCAACCUUUGAAAGCCGAUGGAUACUGCGGAGCUAGAGUACGGGAAGAGGCGAGUGGAAUUCCUGGUGUAGCGGUGGAAUGCGCAGAUAUCAGGAGGAACACCAAUAGCGAAGGCAGCUCGCUGGGACGUUACUGACACUGAGGCGCGAAAGCGUGGGGGAGCGAACAGG
rnacentral:rRNA from 1 species